UUUUGUUCUGAGAAAACAGUGAAAUCUUCAUCUCUUAGUAUUUUUGCCCCUGGGGGUGUGUCUGUGUUUUCCAUACUGGAAAAUGAAAUGAACCCAUGUUUUGUGAGCAUGUACUAUGUGCCUGGCAUGGUGCUGAGCAUGUUCAUACAUGUUAUCUUAUUUAAUCCUCCCAAUCAAGGAGAUGUUUCAUUAUUUCACAUUCAUAAAACAACUGAGGACCAGAAAGGUCAGGUGAGUUCUUCAAGGACCCACAGCUAGUGAGUAAUGAAGGUGGAUUGAGCCCUGUCCAGCCUCACUUUCUGAGAAGACUGUAGGGGAGAGUCUGGGCGUGGGGAGAGAGGUUGGGGCUAGUGCACUAGACCUAAGCAGUUAUUAGCAGAAAAAUAAAUGCAUUAUCUAGUAGCUGGGUGAAAAACUGUUUUAUCUCUUUUGUUAACCUUGGUACACUGGUAGUGGUCAUCUGGAGAAUGUGGCUCAGAAAUAGUACUGAGAUUGAUUAGCUACAUGUGGCACAGGUGGAGAUAGAUAGUAUCUACCCAAAUGCCAUAUAUUUGACCUUAGUGUAUCGAUAGGAAGGGUGUUACCACAGUGACACUUGACAGGGGUACAGGGAACAGCCAGUUGGAUUGCUAUUAGGCCUGAUUUCUGAGCUAUACCCAACAUUUCUCCUUUGCUUUUCAGGGUUGCAUUUGCCAAUUCUUCAACCACCUAUUGAUAUACCAAAGGACCACAUGCUUGUAAAUUAGUCCAGCAAGUAUCUUCAUCUGGAUAUUUUUGAAGGAAACAUAUUUUAAGAAAACACAUGCCUUCUGGUGCUCCAUGCUUGAUAUAAUUAGUCACAGCUUUGUCACCAUUCCCUGGAGGCUGAAGAAGGACCUUAAUUACAGAAGCAGUGCACUCAGCCACUGCCUGCUGUAUUCUGAUGUCACCACCUAUGAGCUUCAAAGAGAGGUCAGGCUGAUCCUAGGAUGUCAUGUGGCUCAAAUCCAGUAUUUUAAUUUAGAGACUCAGUAA
rnacentral:lncRNA from 1 species